rnacentral:rRNA from 1 species
UACGAAGGGGGCUAGCGUUGCUCGGAAUCACUGGGCGUAGAGCGCACGUAGGCGGCUUUUUAAGUCAGGGGUGAAAUCCUGGAGCUCAACUCCAGAACUGCCUUUGAUACUGAGAGCUUGAGUCCGGGAGAGGUGAGUGGAACUGCGAGUGUAGAGGUGAAAUUCGUAGAUAUUCGCAAGAACACCAGUGGCGAAGGCGGCUCACUGGCCCGGUA